GCUACAUCAGGAGACUCAACAGCACCAAACUCCUCAACGCCUCCUCCAAACUCCUCUUCCGUGCCACUAUCUUAGUCGCACUCAUCCUCGUCUUCCUCUUCACCUUCAACUACCCUCCCCUCGCCCCAGACUUCACCUCCCACCGCCACCUCCACUCCCACUCCCACUUCCUCUCCUCCUCCUCCUCCUUCGCCUCCUGGGAGAAGCAGGUCCGCCACUCCUCCACCCCUCGCCGCC
rnacentral:lncRNA from 1 species